rnacentral:rRNA from 1 species
GCAACUCGCCUGCAUGAAGCUGGAAUUGCUAGUAAUCGCGGAUCAGCAAGCCGCGGUGAAUACGUUCCCGGGCCUUGUACACACCGCCCGUCACACCAUGAGAGUCGGGAACACCCGAAGUCCGUAGUCUAACCGCAAGGGGGCGCGGCCGAAGGUGGGUCCGGUAAUUGGGGUGAAGUCGUAACAAGGUACC